UNACACGUGCUACAAUGGUCCGGUACAAAGGGUUGCCAAGCCGCGAGGUGGAGCUAAUCCCAUAAAACCGAUCGUAGUCCGGAUCGCAGUCUGCAACUCGACUGCGUGAAGUCGGAAUCGCUAGUAAUCGUGAAUCAGAAUGUCACGGUGAAUACGUUCCCGGGCCUUGUACACACCGCCCGUCACACCAUGGGAGUGGGUUGCUCCAGAAGUAGCUAGUCUAACCGCAAGGGGGACGGUUACCACGGAGUGAUUCAUGACUGGGGUGAAGUCGUAACAAGGUAGCCGUAGGGGAACCUGCGGUUGUU
rnacentral:rRNA from 1 species